CAGUCUGCAACUCGACUGCGUGAAGUCGGAAUCGCUAGUAAUCGCGGAUCAGCAUGCCGCGGUGAAUACGUUCCCGGGCCUUGUACUACACCGCCCGUCACACCAUGAGAGUCGGGAACACCCGAAGUCCGUAGCCUAACCGCAAGGGGGGCGCGGCCGAAGGUGGGUUCGAUAAUUGGGGUGAAGUCGUAACAAGGUACC
rnacentral:rRNA from 1 species